CCGUCCGAUUAAAAAAUGCGAAAUCGUAUAUUAUUAUGUACCUGGCCUAUUUGAUAUAUUCAUGUAUAGUGUUAGGCAUAUUUACCACCCCUUGCGGAUAAACGUGCGCCUAAAUAAUAGGUACUUUAUUUUGUUAAUAAUUACUACACUGUAUGGUCGCUUGGGCUGUUAAUUGAAUUGUGCACGUUUCGCUAUUAUUACAACGAUGAAGCUUUAUGAUUUCAAACGUCAAAUUAUGAUUUACUAAUGAAUUAUGUUUUACUCGUUAACGAAAUCCUACAAGAGUCUUCUUA